rnacentral:rRNA from 1 species
UGCCAGCAGCCGCGGUAAUACGGAGGGUGCAAGCGUUAAUCGGAAUUACUGGGCGUAAAGCGCGCGUAGGCGGAUAUUUAAGUCGGGUGUGAAAUCCCUGGGCUCAACCUAGGAAUGGCAUUCGAUACUGGAUAUCUAGAGUUUGGUAGAGGGAAGUGGAAUUUCCGGAGUAGCGGUGAAAUGCAUAGAUACCGGAAGGAAUACCAGAGGCGAAGGCGGCUUCCUGGACCAAUACUGACGCUGAGGUGCGAAAGCGUGGGGAGCGAACAGGAUUAGAUA